rnacentral:rRNA from 1 species
AUGAAUGUGCUAAGCUGGAACUGCCAGGGAGGGGGGAAUUCCUGGACAGUUCGUGAGUUGGCGACGAUCUCACAGCCGCAUUCCCCAAACGUGGUGUUUUUGUGUGAGACGAGGCGGAAAGCUGAAAAGAUGAGGAGGAUUCGUGGUCGCCUUGGUUUGAAGGGGUUCACGGGUGUGGAUAGCAAUGGGAUGACUGGUGGGCUGGCUUUGUUUUGGCAUGAGUCAUAUGAGGUGGAAAUACUGGAUAAAGAUGAACGAUAUAUUGAUGCCCUUUUGCGUGUUGUGGAGGGAGCAACUCAAUGGAGGAUAACGUGCGUGUAUGGAGAACCACGAGUUGAGAACCGGCAUCUUAUGUGGGAGAAGUUGCAGCGGUUGAAGAACACAAGUGAUGCUCCUUGGUUAGUGGUGGGUGAUUUCAACGAGGCAAUGUGGAACUAUGAACACUUGUCAUCUACACCCCGGGCUGAACCACAGAUGAUUGCCUUCCUGGAUACCUUGGAGAUUUGUGGUCUUGUAGACCUGGUUUUGUGGGCAUACCUAUCGGAGUUAUUGGCCAUGGGUAGCCUCAUCUGCCCCCAUGGCAUUUCAAAACAUCGGGGCCGGCUGCUCCCCUCAGAGUCUCAAAGCUUGGUCACCGCCUUCUUGUGGCCGGCUGGUCCAAUCGACCGGCUGCUAGAAGGCGGAGGAUCCUAG